UUAAGUUCAGCGGGUAGUCCUACCUGAUUUGAGGUCAAAUUGUCAAGUUGUCUGCGAAGACGAUUAUGAGCAAAAUCCUUCCAAGGCGGAAAACUGAUCCUCAAUGAUAUAGAUAAUUAUCAUACCAAAGAUGGUCAGCACAGAUUGUGCUAAUACAUUUAAGGAGAGCUGAUUUCAGAAAAACCAGCAAGUCCCAUAAU
rnacentral:misc_RNA from 1 species